AAAAGCCCUAAGAAAAUAUUUCUACACACCAUCAAACUUGUACCCAAACACUACCUCCUCUCUCCUCUCAUCUCAUCUCUCUUAUUUUCUCUCAACUUUCUCUCAAAACAAACACCUUGGCCCAACCAUUCUCUCCCAUUUUCACCCAUCUACACUUGUUAUCUUCUCAUGAAAUUUGGAUUUGUUAUUAUCCUCAAGAAGAUCUUUAAGUCGAUGUAAAUUUUGUUGCAAGAUUCCAAGUAAAUCAAGGUGAAAUCCUCACUUAACUCUCUACCUCUUUCUCUUUCCUCUUUCUUUUAUUUUUCUUUUAAAUCUAAGGCUAAAAUCAUGCAUAAUAUGUCACAUUCACUAUGUUUUACAAUAAAAUUCAUGUUCAUGAUUUAGUUGGUAAAAAUCUCCCCCUUUUUUUUAUUAUAAGAGGUGAAUCCUCCAAAAAGUAAAGGAAAGGAAGUUUUGGAGGCUUGAUUUGUUAAGGUUUGUGAAUUUUCAACGUUUUAGAGAUUUUUAGGUUAUAAAUGUUUGAUUUCUGUGAAAUAUGGUUCAGGUUCUUAUUUUUGUGCCAUGUGUGUUUAGAUCCAUGCUUAAGCUUCCUUAUUUUUCCAUUAUUGUGAAGUUAUAUGAUUUUUAUGCUAUUUUUGUCAAACAGUAGUUGUUGUCCCUUUCAUUUAUGUUGAUUUUUCAGUUAUUAAGCUUAUAAUCUUUGAAUACAUGAGUUGACUAUGCUAUGUGUCAAGUUUGGUGAGAUUUGGAGCAUAUAUGAUAUAAUUUUUGAGCUAUCUACUUGGUGAUUUAUUGUGAUUUUAUUUUUAAUUGUUGCAUGUGUAUAUUAAUAUUUGUAUUUUGAUGGUUAAUGAUGAUUAUAUGGCUUUUGUUGAAUUAAAACGUUAGUUUUAUGCUAAUCUUGUUAUGGCCAACCAUAUGAGUAGUAAAAUGAAAUUUUACAAGACUUUGUGGGCUAUCUAAAACAUUUCCAAGGACUUGUUGGCACUUUACCUAUGAUUGGAGGAUUAUUGCACUAUUUGACUAAUUAAUGGGUUAUUAAGGAUUUAAUCAUGUAAAUAAAGGAUUUAAUUAAAAAUGUUACCAUCUAAAUUAUGGACAUGUGACAUUUGUAAAAUUAAGUAUAUAAUGUAAUUGGGACCUUAAAAAUGGAUUAAAUGUGGACUAUGGUUUAUUAAUUAUAUCAUACGUCUAUUUGUAGUGAGACUCAAAUUUAUAAUUAAUAAAAACUCUAAGGCUAUGUUUGGUUGGAUGUAAUGCAAUGCAAUGUAAUCAAAGAUAUAAUGCAAAGAAAAAUAUAAUGGAAUGUAAUGUAAUUAAGAUUCCAUUACUAUGUUUGGUAUGUAAUUAAGAAAAUUUAUGGAAUGUAAUCACCAUCUCAUUUUUAUGUUUGUUUGUAAAUACGUAAUGUAAUGCAAUUAAAACAUCAACACAACCAUCACUCUACCACCAUCACCACCACCACUACCACCCUAAACACCACCCCACUACCAUCAUCACCUCAAAUAAUUUUUUCAUAUUUGACAAGUGAAAAUAAUAAAUAUAGCCGUAUCAAAGAUAUAUGUAAAUAUUCCAAAAAUUUGAAAUCAUUCAGUUCGUACUUUAUUUUAUUUAUAUGAAAACAAUAAAUUAUAAAAUUUGGUUUCACAUAAUAACUUAUCAUUUAUUUGUGGAAUCAUAUAUUCGGUAUAAGUAAUUUUUUUAUAUAAAACUAACCUCAGUAAGAUGUGAAUUACUACAAGUUUGAUAAAUAAUUUAUUUCAUUUUCAAGCAACAAGUUUAAUAAAUAACUGAGUUAUAAAUUGCUCACUUCUAAGCAUAGCCUGUCUACUUUUUAAAACAAUAGAAAUUUAUUUUAAUUUUCAUGCGGAUUUAGAAACAAUAAUUAAUAUUAUUUGAAUAAUAAAUUUUAUUAUUUGAAUAAUCAAUAUUAGCUCAAUACCAAUAUUCAAUUAAAAAGUUCAUUAUUUUAAUUUUCAACUUAUUAUUGGUUCAUUAAAAAAGAGAGUAAAUCAAACUUGAUUAUUUUAAUUAAAUUCAAAGGAGUUUUAUUAAACCCUUUUAAACUUACUUAUGGCAUUUUAGCAAAUAUAAUACUAUCAGUAAAUUUUUGUAAAUCAUAAAACCAAAACCAAAAUUCUUGUAAUUAGAAAUUUCGUAAAUGAGAAAAAUAUCUCAUUAUUAAUAGGUUGAACAUUGCCAAAUGAGUCGACUAUUAGGAUUGAAUUUUACUAAGACCACUUACUAUUUUUACAUAUUCAAAUGCAUACGUGAAAUGUAAGAUCUAAAUACAUAGGUGGUGAAUGGUUAAGGUGGGUGGUGAUGGUGAUGGUGAUGGUGAUAGUUGUGGUGGUGGUUGAGGUGAAGGUGAGGGUGGUGGUGGUGGCAGUGUGGUGGUGGUGGAUUAAUGAUAGUGGUUGAGGUGGUGGUAAGGGUGGUGGUAGAGUGGUGGAGCGGUUAUGGUGGUGAUGGUGGAUUAGUGGUGGUGGUGAGGGUGGUGGAGGAGUGGAGGUGGUGGUGGUAGUGGAUUAGUAGUUGUGGUGGAGCGGUGGUGGUGGUGGUGGAUUAAUGGUGGUGGUGAGGAUGGUGGUGGUGGUGAGGUUGGUGGAGCAGUGGUGCUAGUGGUGGUGGUGGAACAGUAAUGGUGGUUGUGGUGGUGAGGUGGUAGUGUUAAAUAGUCUUGGAUAGUAAAGUUUUUAUUGGGGUAGCUUGAUGUAAUUGGUAUUACAUUAGCUUGAUGUAAUGGACAAUAUAUGUGUUUUUUGAUGUAAUAUUCAUUACAUCAAUUUAAGUAAUCAAGAUUACAUAUGUAAUCUCAAUUGCAUUACAUUGUCCAAAAAAGGUUUAACCAAACAAUGUAAUCAAUAAUGUAAUGAAAUCCCCAUUCCAUUACAUGGUUGAUUACAUCAAACCAAACAUGGCCUAUGGACCUAAUGAUAAUUUGACCUUAAUUAAGAUGAUAAUUGAUACAGACUCGCCUCUGAAAACUUAUUCAAGAAAGAAAUUUAACUCCUCAUAUGCUUUGCACAUGGGUUGAGAGCGUUUGAAAGAAGUCAAAACUGUUGGAGAAGAUGGAAUUAAUCAGUUGCUGGAAUUUCUCAAAGUAUAGAAACUGCUUCACGUGUCUGGUUUUUCUACUGCAGCUCACUUAUCCACUUACCCACUUUCCCAAUUACUUAGGAUUUGAUUUGCUUUCCUGUCAGGAUUUAUAUUUCGUUUUUUUAUUCUUUUUUUCAUCAUUAUUGAAGUAUUAAUCAAAGUUGUAAAAAGUCUGGUCCUCUCCAUACAGACUAACCAAAUAAAGCUUUCCAUUUUCUCAAUAAAUUUUCUUUCUUUUCUUUUUAUUUUCUGCUGCUGCUAUCAAUAAUCAACUAGGAUCACUGAUAAAUAAGUGAUAAUAUUAAAUUAAUUGGUUAGAAGUAGUUUUAUUAAAUGGUUAUGUAGUUAAAAAAUUAUAUCUAAAUGUAUUAGGUGAUUAAAUGGUAAAUAAUAGAAAUAAUAGAAUAUAUGGAUAUUAAAUUAAUUAGGUAGCUAUUUAGUAGUAUAAUUUAGUGAGAUAAUGAAUAUUAGGUUGCUAACCCUCAUUAGAUCAAUUAAUUUAUUAAUUGAUCAAUUUAAAUCUCAUUAAUGAGAAUUUAAGGAAAUAUGGAAAUUAUGGAUUAAUUACGUGAUGAUUUAUUAUAUUGGAUUUAGUGUAUUGAAUUAAUGCCAAAGUCUUGAAAGUUAUGCUAAAUAUGGAAUAAUAUGAUGAUUAUGCGAAAAUACAAUUUUAUUGAGUGAUUAAUUAUAUGAAAUGAAUUAUUAUGUUAUGAACCAUAAAAUAUUAUUUAUGAAUAUAAUAUGAUUAUAUGCAAUUAUGUGCGAAAUUGAGCAAUGAUGAGAUCAUGAGUAUGGUUAUAUGAUUAAAAUGUGAAUUAUGAAAAUGAGACUAUGAUGAAAUAUUUGGUAUGGAAAAUAUGAUUUUAUGAAUAAAUGAAUUUUAUGAAAGGGACUAUUUGUCAAACUAUAAUAGAAUGUUUUGGUGUAUUUAUAAGACCGAAAAUUCCAAGUUGUAAACACCGACAUAGUUGAAUUAUAAAACGAAUUAAAUAUAAUGGAUUUUUACCGGCCCUAGUUUACUUGUUCGAGUUCGUAAUGGUAUAGAGGUAGGACAUGUCAUAGAAAAAAUAAUACUAUCUAUGUUAUUAUGUGACACACAAUGUUAAUUACUCAGGAGCUAACAAACUCCCAUUAUUCAGGGGCUAUUGAAUCCCAAGCUUAUGAUAUGGUCAUUUGAUUUCGAUUGACGGGUCUUACGAUGUUAUUAUGAUUUUUGAGCCGUCUGUUAUUAUGUUUACUCUAUCUGUUAUUUGGCUUUUCUAGGUGAGCUAGUGGCCUCAUAAAACAUGCAAUUUUUAUGAAAUAAAUUAAGAAUUAAUUAUACUGCUCUUAUGAAAUGAUGCUUUUAUUUAUUGACACAUGAUUUCUAAAUUUGAUAUUACAUGCUAAAUUAUGGAUAUUUUUUUUAUGUGACUGAAUUGAGCCUUAUUCUGUAGAAUAUUAUGAUGUCAUGAUUAAAUAUGUAUUUAUGCCAUGCAUGAAUAUUGAAUUGAACACCAUAUACUAAUUAAUUAAAAUAAUGUUAUUAAGUGAUUGAAUAAAUAAUUAAUUGCCAGUUAUGGAAUUAUCCGGUCUGUUUUGAUGGUAUGACUAUAUAAGAGACUAUCCUUAAAUUUAGAGAAGCAUAAUUUAAGUGAUUGGGUAUUAAAUACUGAUGGUGAAUAUCAUAACUGGUGAUUUAAUAGUGAUAUUAACUAUUAUUUAUUAUUAUUUUAGCUAGUAAAUCAUUUAUGAUAUUAAAUGAUGAUUAUGAAAGUGUGAUUAAAUUAUGAUAUAAAUGUUGACUAUGUGUAAUUAGCUUGUGAUUAAAUUAUGGUAGGAAGUGUUGAAUGUUAUGCCCUAGAAUUUAAUUAUGCUAUGAACAUGUGAAUUUCUGUGUAAUUUCCUAUGAAAUAGAGAAAUUAGUAUCACUAAGUUUUAUGCUUAGCGCGUUGAUUUUAUCACCUGCAGGUGGUAAAUGGUGGUUGCAGAAGUGUACUAAGAUGGAUGCUUUAAAGUAGUGGAUAGAUAUGAAGUACUUAUAGUUAUUUGAUUUAUCGUGGCAUUAGUAGCAUGUAACUAAUUAUUAGAGGUUUUGUAUUAAUAUAAUGAAUUAUGGUCUACUGUAUUUAAAUUAUUUUAUAUGACCUGGGAGAUAUAUGCAUAAGAUAGUGUAGUGAUGAUUAUAAAUCUUAUGUUGACCCUUGAUGAGUUAUUAUGGGAUCAUUUAUUAAAAAUUCUUGAAUGUUAUAUUUGAGACGAUUUAUUUAUGAGAAAAUGUUAUGGGU
rnacentral:lncRNA from 1 species